GAUGAAGAACGUAGCGAAAUGCGAUAAGUAAUGUGAAUUGCAGAAUUCAGUGAAUCAUCGAAUCUUUGAACGCACAUUGCGCACUCUGGUAUUCCGGGGGGCAUGCCUGUUCGAGCGUCAUUAUAACCACUCAAGCUCUCGCUUGGUAUUGGAGUUCGCGAUCUCGCGGCUCCUAAAAUCAGUGGCGGUGCCUGUCGGCUCUACGCGUAGUAAUACUCCUCGCGAUUGAGUCCGGUAGGUUUACUUGCCAGCAACCCCCAAUUUUUACAGGUUGACCUCGGAUCAGGUAGGGAUACCCGCUGAACUUAAGCAUAUCAAUAAGCGGAGGA
rnacentral:misc_RNA from 1 species